UGGUUCAGGAUGAACGCUAGCGACAGGCCUAACACAUGCAAGUCGAGGGGCAUCGGGGCGAGGAGCAAUCCUUGCCGCCGGCGACCGGCGCACGGGUGAGUAACGCGUAUGCGACCUGCCCGCUGCAGGGGGAUAAUCGGGAGAAAUCCCGUCUAAUACCGCGUAAUGCCGCGGGGCUGCAUGGCCCUGCGGCCAAAGGGAGCGAUUCCGGCAACGGAUGGGCAUGCGUGACAUUAGCUAGUUGGCGGGGCAACGGCCCACCAAGGCGACGAUGUCUAGGGGUUCUGAGAGGAAGGUCCCCCACACUGGUACUGAGACACGGACCAGACUCCUACGGGAGGCAGCAGUGAGGAAUAUUGGUCAAUGGGCGCGAGCCUGAACCAGCCAAGUCGCGUGAGGGAUGACGGCCCUACGGGUUGUAAACCUCUUUUGUCGGGGAGCAAAUUCCGCCACGUGUGGCGGAGUCGAGAGUACCCGAAGAAAAAGCAUCGGCUAACUCCGUGCCAGCAGCCGCGGUAAUACGGAGGAUGCGAGCGUUAUCCGGAUUUAUUGGGUUUAAAGGGUGCGUAGGCGGACUGUCAAGUCAGCGGUAAAAUACGGGGGCUCAACCUCCGCCCGCCGUUGAAACUGACGAUCUUGAGUGGGCGAGAAGUAUGCGGAAUGCGUGGUGUAGCGGUGAAAUGCAUAGAUAUCACGCAGAACUCCGAUUGCGAAGGCAGCAUACCGGCGCCCGACUGACGCUGAAGCACGAAAGCGUGGGUAUCGAACAGGAUUAGAUACCCUGGUAGUCCACGCAGUAAACGAUGAAUACUAGCUGUCCGGGGCGAAUGAGCCCUGGGUGGCACAGCGAAAGCGUUAAGUAUUCCACCUGGGGAGUACGCCGGCAACGGUGAAACUCAAAGGAAUUGACGGGGGCCCGCACAAGCGGAGGAACAUGUGGUUUAAUUCGAUGAUACGCGAGGAACCUUACCCGGGCUCGAACGACACAGGAACGUACCUGAAAGGGUUCGGCUCUACGGAGCCUGUGUCGAGGUGCUGCAUGGUUGUCGUCAGCUCGUGCCGUGAGGUGUCGGCUUAAGUGCCAUAACGAGCGCAACCCCCAUCGACAGUUGCUAACAGGUCAGGCUGAGGACUCUGUCGAGACUGCCGGCGCAAGCUGCGAGGAAGGCGGGGAUGACGUCAAAUCAGCACGGCCCUUACGUCCGGGGCGACACACGUGUUACAAUGGCAGGUACAGCGGGAAGCCACCUGGCGACAGGGAGCGGAACCCGAAAGCCUGUCUCAGUUCGGAUUGGAGUCUGCAACCCGACUCCAUGAAGCUGGAUUCGCUAGUAAUCGCGCAUCAGCCACGGCGCGGUGAAUACGUUCCCGGGCCUUGUACACACCGCCCGUCAAGCCAUGGAAGCCGGGGGUGCCUGAAGUGCGCUGCCGCGAGGAGCGCCCUAGGGUAAAACCGGUGACUGGGGCUAAGUCGUAACAAGG
rnacentral:rRNA from 1 species